GCCUAUCACUGACCCAACUAAUCAUUCCUUUAAUAAUAGAGGUGGUCUUGGGUGCAACCAGUUACACCAUGCAACCGGGUUGCAUCCUCACUUAAAUCUUGAUCUGUACUUUGACUUGAAUCCAAAUUUUGAUCCUAACCGUGCCGGUUGCACGGUGCAACCCAAGUUUUUGUGUUAAUAAUAUGGCCCUUUUUCCAACCUCCUGUUGUACUCCUCCAUCCUCACCCUCUCCUUCUCCUCCUCAUCCUUCCUCUCCUCCUCCAACUGACUGUACACUACAUCCAUUGCUUUUGAAUCUCGUAGUGGAAAUCUGCUCUCAACAUAACAAAAUAUCUUCAUAGAUACAUAAUCAUAUAUAUCCAGUUCCUCCAACUUCUUUGCUUCCAAAUCAUAAACUACUAGCUGUCUCAUCCGCGGCUUGCUAAUUUUCUUUUCGAAAAACAAAAAUCGACCUUGGUUCAACACCAGCGGCAGCGGCCUCUCAACGUCACAUAGAUCGACAGAAACCCAAGGAACCCACGAGCUCUCUUUCAACACCAGAAGCUGAAAAUUGUUAAAAACUCCAAAACCUCGCGACGGCCUCGCGUAGCGAAUCACGCCCAACACGUUGUCGUCAACCUUGACGACAUCGUCCAAUAAGUCCGUCCUCCGCGGCGGUAAACCGAUGCUGGAGAAGCAUUCGCCAGUGAAAUCAAAUGAUACAACGCUACUAAAACGAUGAGAAUAUCUUAUCCAAUAAUAACAUCCAUUAACAUGAACACCGGAUCCAUGAUUGCGGAAGCCAACAACACCAAUUUCAAAAUCACCGAAUUUAAUCUGCUUCCAGGAAUCGGUUUUGAGUGAAAACACCUCACCUUUCACCUCUGUAUCAUUAUAACGAGG
rnacentral:lncRNA from 1 species